rnacentral:rRNA from 1 species
UACAGAGGGGGCAAGCGUUAUUCGGAAUUAUUGGGCGUAAAGGGCGCGUAGGCGGCUUGGCAAGUGGAUGGUGAAAUCCCUCGGCUUAACCGAGGAACGGCCGUCCAAACUGCUUCGCUUGAGACCGGGAGAGGUGAGUGGAAUUCCCAGUGUAGCGGUGAAAUGCGUAGAUAUUGGGAGGAACACCAGUGGCGAAGGCGGCUCACUGGACCGGUACUGACGCUGAAGCGCGAAAGCGUGGGGAGCAAACAGG